CCCUGGGAUCAUGACCUGAGCUGAAAUCACGAGUCAGACACCAACCGAUUGAGCCACCCAGGUGUGGCUUAUGGAGUCUCUGACGCUGUCCCGCUGAUCCCCCUCACCCAUGAUGUGUACACUAAAUAGUGAUGAGACAGACGAUGAGGUGAUGAAGUUUUAGAGUGAUGGGGGGUUCAUGAGGUCUGGAGCUGACGACCAAGAAAGAAUUCUUGAAGAUGUCUUUUGUACAAAAAGGUAAUUUUAUUAAAGCACAAGGACAGGACCCGUGGGCAGGAAGAGCUGUACUGGGGUUGUGGGGGUGAGUGUUUUAUGGAGUCAGGGGAGAUAAAGUCCAGAGGGUAGAUAAAGUCAAGAGGGAGUUUCCAAAGAGACUUUCACAUGCUGAAGACUUAUUGGAAGCCUAGCUCUUGUCAAGCUAGGGUUGUUUUUCUCUCUAGCAAGGCAUUAACAUUAAGACAGUAGGAAGUUCCUGGACUUUAGGCUACAUGGGAUUGCCUUUUUCUGGUAAAAUGGUGGAGACUCUUAUCAGUUUAUCCAUGUUUUUGUUUGUUUGUUUGUUUGUUUGGUUUGUUUGUUUUGUCCUUUCCUGUUUUGGGGCAGCUGGGAGUGUCCAAGGAAUAUCAUUCAUGUCCCACCUGGGGAGGGGGUGUGUGCUAACUUGUACUUUGCCCUCAGCUUGCUUCAUGCUCCUUCAUCACAGGUAUGUCAUGUAAAGACAAAUAUAAAUUAAAAAUAAGAGGCUUAAUUCUCUUUUGAAAAUGAGGUGUUUGGGGCACCUGAUGGACUUAGUCAGUUAAGCAUCUGACUUCAGCUCAGGU